rnacentral:rRNA from 1 species
CUACGGGAUGCUGCAGUGGGGAAUAUUGCACAAUGGGCGCAAGCCUGAUGCAGCCAUGCCGCGUGUAUGAAGAAGGCCUUCGGGUUGUAAAGUACUUUCAGCGGGGAGGAAGGGAGUAAAGUUAAUACCUUUGCUCAUUGACGUUACCCGCAGAAGAAGCACCGGCUAACUCCGUGCCAGCAGCCGCGGUAAUACGGAGGGUGCAAGCGUUAAUCGGAAUUACUGGGCGUAAAGCGCACGCAGGCGGUUUGUUAAGUCAGAUGUGAAAUCCCCGGGCUCAACCUGGGAACUGCAUCUAAUACUGGCAAGCUUGAGUCUCGUAGAGGGGGGUAGAAUUCCAGGUGUAGCGGUGAAAUGCGUAGAGAUCUGGAGGAAUACCGGUGGCGAAGGCGGCCCCCUGGACGAAGACUGACGCUCAGGUGCGAAAGCGUGGGGAGCAAACAGGAUUAGAUACCCGCGUAGUC